GUGACGUGUGGGGAAAGUGUGACGGUUCUGCUCUCAGUAGUAUGUUGUUCUGAAAAGCUGCAGGCGCACAGACGAACAAUCUAAAAGACGUUAGCGUCAUCUGCAUACGUCUUUGUGUUCAUCGCACAUUAGAUCAAAACAUUCGGCGUCAUACAGCCUCAUUACAUCGGAGCUUCUUGGAUUUUGGUUCCUGCUGGAAGGCAGAGGAGUGUGGAACACGCCUCUCCAGGACUCCUGAUAAAAGAGGAAGUGGAGGAAGGAAGGAAGUGCUUUAACAUUCAGAGCGGCAUGAAUGAAAAGACGGCGGACGCUGCUGAAGCCCCCUCACCCAGUUUCACCAAGGAAGCAGGGCUUCGUCUCAGCAUGCAGUGGAUUUCCUGCCGGAUCCAUCCCAGGAGAGGAAGAUGUAAAUUUAGGACUGGAAUGUGGCGUUCUUCUCUGCGACGGCACAACGUGACGAAUGUUCCCAGACAGGACCGAGAACCAGAGCUGCUGUUCUGAGACUCUUCAGGACUCAGGGUUUCUCCUGUCAGGUAGAAUAAGGUUUUGAGUCACUCGACUGAGUUCCAGGAAGUGUAAACAUCCUACACUCUCGGCGUCCGCCCCCUGGUGGCCGGGAGUGGGACUGUUUGCACUGCCCGGCUCAGAUACGCCGCGACUCGGACUCUUUGAGAGAUGAGGAGCUUCCUGACGUCUGGUUUGGCUCUAGGUGUGAAGCCGUCGCUCCUCAAGCUUCAUAUCGAUGUGAGUAAAGAGCUCUUUAAGUCUCGGCCGCUCCGUGUUCCCCACAGGAAACCGGGAGCGGCUCGUCUCCCAUCGGCCCGUUUCCCCUGACCCCCCGACCCCGGUCACUGCAGUCCCAGCGGGAUGGACGCGCACACACACACACACACACACACACACACACACACACACACACACACACACACACACACACACACACACACACACACACACACACACACACACACACACACACACACACACAGAGGAUGUGACACAGUCCAGAGAAAGGAAAGGCUGCAGGAAGUGCUCAGAACAAACAUGAAAUAUGGACUCCUGUGAACUUUACAAAUACAUGAAGUGUGUGUGUUUGUGUCUGUGUGUGUGUGUCUCGCUCUCUCUGUCUCUGUCUCCCUCUCCCUCUCUUUCUCUCCCACACUCUCUCUCUCUCUCUCUCCAGUUGCAGGAAGUACAGUACAUACACAGGAAGCACAAUCAGUGGGUGUUAUCCAUGUGUGCGAUUCAAGAAUCUGUCCUGAGAGAAAAUAUGUCAAAGCAGAACUCCACCGUGAAGUUUGAGGCAAUGCUGGUUAAAUUUGACCAUGCACAUGGAAAUGCUGCAGAAUCGGGAAAUCAUGGAGGGUUUCCCCGGCCGAGCAGCUGCCUCCAACCUGCACAUCAUCUCGAGCAAUUAUAGUCUCUGGUUUAAGAAUAGGAGGUCAAUCCAGUUGAUAUGCAUGUGAAGCCAGGUGGCAGCAGAACAAUAGAGUUGAAGACCAGAACCAGACUUCAGGGGACAAAGUGACUCAUGACAGACCAAACCAAUCACUCAUCGAUUGCUCAGUUAUGCAGUGUGUCUUAAC